rnacentral:rRNA from 1 species
AGCGAACGUUAGCGGCGGGCCUAACACAUGCAAGUCGAACGAGAAUGAGGGGGCAACUCCUCUAGUAAAGUGGCGGACGGGUGCGUAACACGUUGGUAAUCUACCUUCCGGCGGGGGACGAACAGUCCGAAGGAGUUGCUAAUACCGCAUACGUCGACGAGGUCUCCGGAUCUUGUCGGGAAAGACGCCUCUCCUUGGAAGCUGUCACCGGAAGAUGAACCUGCGGCCC